AUUGAACGCUGGCGGCAUGCUUUACACAUGCAAGUCGGACGGCAGCACAGAGAAGCUUGCUUCUUGGGUGGCGAGUGGCGAACGGGUGAGUAAUAUAUCGGAACGUACCGAGUAAUGGGGGAUAACUAAUCGAAAGAUUAGCUAAUACCGCAUAUUCUCUGAGGAGGAGAGCAGGGGACCUUCGGGCCUUGCGUUAUUCGAGCGGCCGAUAUCUGAUUAGCUAGUUGGUGGGGUAAAGGCCUACCAAGGCGACGAUCAGUAGCGGGUCUGAGAGGAUGAUCCGCCACACUGGGACUGAGACACGGCCCAGACUCCUACGGGAGGCAGCAGUGGGGAAUAUUGCACAAUGGAGGGAACUCUGAUGCAGCGACGCCGCGUGAACGAAGAAGGCUUUCGAGUCGUAAAGUUCUUUUAUAUGGGAAGAUAAUGACGGUACCAUAAGAAAAAGCCCCGGCUAACUACGUG
rnacentral:rRNA from 1 species